rnacentral:lncRNA from 1 species
CUUGAGUUUCUUUGUGAUAUUGGACAAGGUACAUUUGAAGCACAAUUUUAUUAUUACUUUCCUAAUUGUCAAUAUACCACGGCCCUAGUCAUUUUGAACUUUAGCUUGAUACAACCACGGUCGCUUCAAUAAUUUUGAGUAUGAAAAUACAAACUUGAAAUCUAAGAAAAAGUUCAAGAAGAAGUAGCAGAACUAGAUUAAACAGAUGAGUACAAGAACAACACCAGAAAGGUGAGCUAGAACUCCAAGAGAUGUGUUGUCGAGACUGAAGAACUCUUCAGCCUCGAUCUCUAUAUAUACUCCUACUUAGGAAGCUUCUCGAGCUACUUCUAUUAACUAGGAAGCUUCUAGAAGGUUCCAAAGGCUUCCUUUCUAGAAGGUUCUAGAAACUUCUCGAGCUACUUCUAUUAACUAGGAAGCUUCUAGAAAGUUCCAGGGGAUUCUUUUCUAGAAGCUUCUAGGAACUUCUCUUCUAGAAGGUUUCAGAGACUUCCUUUCUAGAAGCUUCUAGAAACUUCUCUCUAAAAGGUUCCAGAGGCUUCUCUUCUAGAAGGUUCCAGAGGCUUGUUUUCUAGAAGGUUCUAGAAACUUCUCUCUAGAAAGUUCUAAGGAAUAUGUCCCUAACAUCACCCCCUCCUUUAGCUUCGAGGUCUCUGAGAAGCAAUGUUGUUGAUCAGUACCAACGCAAGAAAAUGAAGAUUUGUCGCAUAACUUCUACUAUGAACUCCAACUGUUGUUCACGAGGCAAGUGGUUCAUCGACCCUUGAAGCCAACGGUAGUGGCCCACGCCUUCGACUUCUGACCAAGCAUAAACUUCCAUGUCCUCAUUGUGAAAUAGUCCAGCAAACAUGCCUUCUCGUUGUCCAUCGUAAGCAAGCUCGAUCUCAAAUACGAUCACCAGUGAUCGGUUACUCGGUAUCCUCCAUCGUCGUCGUAGUACAUAUAGUUCUUCAUCUCGGAGUCGCCUUCGUGAGCUACUCGGUUGCAAUACUCUGACUGGCAUAGUAUCUAUCUCUUGGCUAUGCAUAUCAAAAGACCAAACUACGAUCUAUCUUGGAGAAAAUAACUACAUCAACUAUGAAUUUUGCUGGUGCUCUCCCUUUUUUUUAUAUUGAUGGGAGAACAAGCUUCAGAAAGAAGCUAUCAUAGAAUUGAUUUAGGUUUAUUGAGAUGUCGUUGAUGAAACUCCUGUACCUUUUGUGGCGCAUUCGCAAGAUUUUCAGCUGGCUCCCACGUUUGCUCAUUAAUGUCAUAGCAGCACCAAUGAAUAAGAUAUUCUAACUUUUCCCACCUUCGCCGUGAAUCCAAUACCUUUUCAACCUCGUAUUCUUAGUGGUUCUCGAUUUCAAUACUAGGUGGCGGACAUUGCACUCUUUAAGGAAAAGAUGCCUCUCGAUAAGGUUCCAACAGAGAAACAUGAAAGACUGGAUGUACCUUCAUAGAAGCCGGUAACUCCAACCAGUGUGCCACUGGAUUAAUUUGCUUCUGGAUGAUAAAUGGUCCCAAUCUUUGAUAGUCCAACUUAUCACAUGGUCGCUUGGUCUUGAUAUUUUGUCGAAGAAGCCAGGCUUUGUCUCCAACUUUGAAAGUAGGUGCUGGAUUCCGAAAUCUAUCUGCAGACGUCUUAUAGGAUUCUUGAGCGGAUUGUAAUUGAGGCUUCAACAUAGUUUGAAGCUCUGAUAGUUGCUUCACAAAUCCUUCAGCUGUUGGAUUGUUAUUUGUUGACGGACUCAAUAAAUCAAGCUUCGGAUGAUACCCAUAGUUGGAAAAGAAUGGUGUUUGUUGCGUCGACACAUGGAGGGUGUUGUUAUAUGCAAACUCGGCUAGCGGUAGAUAUGCAGUCCAAUUGUCUUGCUGAUAGUUGAUGCUGCAUCGUAAGUACUACUCCAAGACUUGGUUCACCCGUUCCGUUUGGCCAUCAGUUUGAGGAUGAAAAGCUGAAGAAAGCUUGAUAUCCACCUUCAAUAUCCCAAAGAGAGAUCUCCAAAACUUUGACACAAACUGGGUACCUCGAUCUGAUAUGAUAUCAUCUGGUAGUCCAUGAUAUCGAUACACAUUAUCGAGAAAGAGUCUUGCUGUGACUUCACUGGACGAUGUCUUCUUACAAGGAACAAAGUGUGCCAUCUUCGUAAGCCGAUCUACCACGACAAAGAUGCUGUCAAAUGAGUUUGAUGAUGGCAAGUCCGUGAUGAAGUCCAUAGAAAUUGAAGACCAUGGUCGAUGUGGAAUUGGCAAUGGCUGUAGAAGUCCAUAAGGGUGAUGCCGAGGAUUCUUAGAUCUUGAACAGAUGUUACAAGAGAGGACAAAAUCUUUCACAUCCUUCCACAUUUGGAGCCACCAAAAAUCUCGGGAAAUAAGCUCCAAGGUCUUGUUGAAUCCAAAAUAUCCCGCAGCUGAAAAAUCAUGGCGAGAUUGAAGAACUCGGAGUCGUGCUAGUCCUUUUGGAAUGUACAAUCGCUCUUCAAAGUAUAAAAGAUCUCCUUCCACCUUGAACUUGUCGUCAUUGGUACGUUGCUUGAUAUCAAUGGCUACUGAAUCUUUAAUGGUCAUAGCACGUACCUGGUUUCGGAAGACAGCAUCAAAUGAUACAAUAGUAGCACAAAGUUGAAAUCUCUCUGGCUUCAAUAACGUUGUACAUUGUUGAUCAAAUGCUGCUUCUCCAACCUUUGGUGCAAGAUACGAUCUCCUUGAUAAAGCAUCAGAUAGUCCUUGCUGUCUUCCAGGUCGAUAAGUGAUAACAAAAUCGAAUCUAGAUAGCGACAUAUUCUACCGAGCUUGACGCCGAUUUAAAACUUGAGCCGUCAUGAAAUACUCCAAAUUCUUGUGAUCCGUAUAUACGGUUACUGGAUGUACAGCUCCUUCAAGAAAGUGAUGCCAUUCUUCGAAAGAAUCCACUAUAGCAAGAAGUUCCUUAUCGUGGAUCUCAUAAUUGAUUUCAGCAGCAGAGAACUUCCGAGAACAGAAUGCAACUGGAUGGAACUUCUUAUCUUCACUCAUUUGUAAAAGCACAGCUCCCAAAGUAAAAUCUGAAGUAUCAGUUUCUAAAUAGAAGGCCUUUGUAAAGUCUGGAUGUACCAAAAUUGGAGCUGUAGUAAAUGCUGUCUUCAAAUCUUGAAACGCCUUCUCUGCCAAAGGUUCCCAUUCCAACUUAUCCUUGCAUGUUAAUCGAGUGAGAGGAGCAGCAACUUGAGAAUAAUUCUUGAUGAAGAUUCGAUAGAAGUUAGCAAAACCAAGAAAGCAUUGUACGUCUCUAACCGUCUUCGGAACCUCCCAAGACAUGAUUGCUUCUACUUUCUUCGGGUCCAUCUUCAAACCUUCUGUAGUCGCAAUGAAUCCCAAAAAUUCCAUCUCCGUCUGGUAAAAUAAACACUUUUCUAAUUUGGCAUAUAGUCCUCGCUUGCGUAGUUUCUCCAAGACCAAACGAACAUGCUCCUCAUGCUCUUCCUCGUUUUUAGAGAAUAUUAGAAUAUCGUCCUAGUAGAUGACAACAAAAUCGUAGAGGUGUUCUCGAAAGAUGUCAUUCAUCAUAUGUUCGAAAACCGCUGGAGCAUUGGUAAGACCAAAAGGCAUGACAUUAUAUUCGAAAUGACCAUACCUUGUACGAAAUGCUGUCUUCCACUCAUCUCCUUCCUUGAUUCGUACGAGAUUAUAAGCUCCCCUUAAAUCAAUUUUUGUAAAGAUCUUCGCACGUCCAAGUUGUUCUAAGAGACUAGAAAUCAAGGGUAAUGGGUAGUGAUUUUUCUUUGUUACCUUGUUGAGGCCUCGAUAGUCCACACACAUCCGUAAUGAUCCAUCUUUCUUCUUCACAAAUAAGAUGGGUGCUCCAGCUGAUGAUUUUGAAUGAUGAAUGAAGUUCUUGGCUAGAUUCUCGUCGAUGUACUUUCGCAACCCUGCCAACACCGUUUGCGAUAGAUUGUAGAUUGGGCCAAAAGGUGGUUGUGCUCCUUCUUACAAGUCUAUGGCACAAUCAUAUGGUCGAUGUUUCGGUAGUAUGUCGGCGUUCUUCUUUUGAAACACGUCUUCAAAAUCCUUAUAUUGCUCCGGUAUACUUGCUGUUGAGAUCUUCUCCUCGGUAAUUAGAGCCGCAUAAAUGACAAAUGGAGUGCCUUCCUUAGAUGAUCUUAUAAACGCUCUUGCUCCAAUGAAUAAGGAUUUCUUUUUUCGAGGUUUUUUACUAGGUUUUUUCUUGGGUGGUUUUGUGGGAAAAGUCAUCUUCCGCAACCUCCAAUCUAUCAAUGGAUUGUGUUUUUCUAACCAAGAAAGACCAAGAAUAAUAGGAUUUAAUGGGGUUCUAAUAAUAUUAAAAAUAAUAUGACUACUAUGGUCUUUAAACGUUACUUCUAUAGGUUUUGAUUCAUGGGUGAUGCUACCACACAAUAAAGGUCGCCCAUCUAUGACCUCAACAUGAACAGGUUUUGAUUUUUGUACUAAAGGGAUCUUAUGACGCUUUGCAAAUUCUUCGUCUAAAAAAUAAGCAGAUGCUCCUGAGUCUAGUAGUGCUAAGGUUCUCAGUUUUUGAGGGCCGAUAAACAGAGGGAUUGUAAAACAAAGUGCAGGUUGGACAAAAAGAAAGGAACCUGAUUGUUGUUGGGAUAUUUCAUUGUCCAGCCGCACGGUUCCUACUGUGGCUGGGCAUCCUCGUUUUCCUGAACAAAUACUCCCCUAGUCUUGACUAUGCCUCGAUUUUGCUUUUUGGGGCAGUUUCCGACUUUGUGGCCUUCUCCACCGCAAUACAAGCAUAAAUUUUCCUCCAUACGUCGCUUUUUUUCUUCUAUAGUAAGAGAUUUGAUACGUACUACAUCAAUUUGCAUGUCUUCCACCUCUGAAUGCGAAUUCACACUGCUUGCCGACAUAGUUGGAGCAUCGCGAAUUGUAUGUUGUCUUGAGCGUUGGUCUUGGCGACGUUGGAAUAGGCGAUUAUCGCACUUCACAGCUUGGCUAAUGGCUUCAUUGAGCGUUCGUGGAUCAGGAAGAGUUAACAGCAAAUCCUUCACAUCAUCUCUUAAACCCCAAUAGAAUUGACUCAUCAACGCUUCUUCAUCCCAAUUGAUGUUGCAUACUAAUUGCCUGAAAUCCGAAGCAUAGACUCAUGUAGAACGCAUCCCUUGUCGUAGCGACCGGAUCUUUGUUGUAGCCCAUCGAACCUUAUUGUGUUCACCAAAUGCUUCCGCAAAUGCUUCCAAAAAGGUUUCGAAGUUGUUUAAUAUGGAUGAUCGUUUCUCAAACAAAGGAGCAAACCAUGAUAGAGCUUGUCCCGUAAGUAAGGUUCCAACAAGCCCAACACGUGACUCCUCCGUUGGACAUCGUUCGGGCUGUAAAACUGUUAUCAACCUAAUUUGAUUGACGAAUCCUCAAAACUUGGAACGUAUUCCAUUAAACUUAUCUGGAAGGCUAACUCGAGGCUCCUUAUAUUGUAGAACUAGUGGUUCUUGUCGAACCUGAGGUAAAGUUGUUUCUCCAAGUGCCGAAAUUUGAGGCUGGUGUAGUUUAAAUUGUGCUAUCCCAGAUACUCCAUCAUUAUGAAGCCUUGCCACCACUCCUUCAAUCUCUGCAGUUCUUUGUAAUAACGUAGCGAGGGCAUUCAUAAUAGCAUCUAACUUAGACUCCGAACUUUCUGUCAUACUAAUGUCUUGACCUCCGGCCAUUCUAAAAGAAGGACAAAAAUGACCCUAUAAGAGGCAAUAUUGAUUUAUAGGAGGGUAAUCCACAACCUAUAAAAUGCCUUAAGAAUUUCAAGAAGAGGGGUAAUCCACUCUCUCCAAGAAGAAUAAGACUCCAAUAUUGUAACAGAAGAAGUAUCAGUUUAGAGGAGGGUAAUCCGCAACCUCUAAAAAAUGCUAGUAUACCUUCAAGUAGAGGGGUAAUCCACACUCUACUAAGAAAGAACUAGCUCUGAUAUCUCAAGUUAGUGUAGUCUUGACAAACUGUCACGGACACAAAAUACAGACUUGAAAUCUAAUAAGAAGUUCAAGAAGAAGUGGCAGAACUAGAUUAAACAGAUGAGUACAAGAACAACACCAGAAAGGUGAGCUAGAACUCCAAGAGAUG